UACGUAGGGUGCAAGCGUUAAUCGGAAUUACUGGGCGUAAAGAGUGUGUAGGCGGUGCUCUAAGUCUGUUGUGAAAUCUCCCGGCUUAACCGGGAGGGUGCGGCGGAAACUGGAGUGCUUGAGGGUGGGAGAGGUAAGCGGAAUUCCUGGUGUAGCGGUGAAAUGCGUAGAUAUCAGGAGGAACACCUGUGGUGUAGACAGCUUACUGGACCACUUCUGACGCUGAGACACGAAAGCGUGGGUAGCAAACAGG
rnacentral:rRNA from 1 species